UAUCCUGUAGAGUCUGCAUAUCAAUAAGCGGAGGAAAAGAAACUAACUAGGAUUCCCUCAGUAACGGCGAGUGAAGCGGGAAGAGCUCAAAUUUGAAAUCUUCAAGGUUUACCUUGACGAAUUGUAGUUUAAAGAAGUGUUUUCUGUUGGAUGUUUUGGUAAAAGUUCUUUGGAAUAGGACAUCAUAGAGGGUGAGAAUCCCGUAUUUGACCAUUACUUCCAGCGUUGUGAUACACUUUCAAAGAGUCGGAUUGUUUGGGAAUGCAGUCCAAAAUGGGUGGUAAAUUUCAUCUAAAGCUAAAUAUUGGCGAGAGACCGAUAGCGAACAAGUACCGUGAGGGAAAGAUGAAAAGAACUUUGAAAAGAGAGUUAAACAGUACGUGAAAUUGUCAAAAGGGAAGCGUUUGACACCAGUGUUGUUUUCUCGAAAAUCAAUUAAAAAAAGUUGGAUUUUGUAUUGUUAAGACCUUAUCAGCUUACUGUACUCUUUUCUUGCUUUUUUUAAUGCACUUUUCGUUUAACAAGUCAACAUCAAUUUCUUUUGUUGUAAAAGAGUCAUUGGAAGGUGGCUUUCACUUCGGUGAAAGUGUUUAUAGCCUUUGGCUUCUGCAAUCGGAGAGAUUGAGGUCUGCAGCGUAGAUCCUUCGGGGCUAGAUACGUAGAUGCUAAGUUAUAGUUUUUUAUAGACAACUUGUUGACUAUAAUUAAUCAUGUAGCUUACUCGUCUGCGCUAUUUUACCUACGCUUAGGAUGUUGACGAUCAGCUGAGCGCG
rnacentral:rRNA from 1 species